AAGAGGUGGGUGAUGUAGCGGGAGUCCAAGACGCAGAGCUGGGGGUUCUGCUGGAUCUCGACGAGGACCUGGAGGAGGGACUCCUCGGAGAGGAGGAAGAAGCCGAAGCGGGAGGGAUCGAUAUCGGGGUGCUUGGAGGUGACGGACACGUGCGAGACCCGGAUGCUCACGUGACCCGUGUGGGUGAACCCGAACUUCUCGAAGAGAAUCAUGGGGCGGUUGUCGGAGGAGAUCGUGAGGGUCCUAAUCUCCGCGGCGGACGGGGAAACCAGGGCCGCCACCAGGACGGCGAUGACGAGAGGGACGAGGGGUAGAUUCGUCAUUUUGCUCUCGGCGAAGGUCAGGGUUUGGCC
rnacentral:lncRNA from 1 species